rnacentral:rRNA from 1 species
AUUAUUGGGCGUAAAGCGCGCGUAGGCGGUCUGAUAAGCCGGUUGUGAAAGCCCCGGGCUCAACCUGGGAACGGCAUCCGGAACUGUCAGGCUAGAGUGCAGGAGAGGAAGGUAGAAUUCCCGGUGUAGCGGUGAAAUGCGUAGAGAUCGGGAGGAAUACCAGUGGCGAAGGCGGCCUUCUGGACUGACACUGACGCUGAGGUGCGAAAGCGUGGGUAGCAAACAGGAUUAGAUACCCUGGUAGUCCACGCUGUAAACGAUGUGCACUAGGUGUUGGGGUGUUGAAACCUCAGUACCGGAGCUAACGCGGUAAGUGCACCGCCUGGGGAGUAUGCCGGCAACGGUGAAACUCAAAGGAAUUGACGGGGGCCCGCACAAGCGGUGGAGCAUGUGGUUUAAUUCGAUGCAACGCGAAGAACCUUACCUACCCUUGACAUCGAGAGAACUUGGCAGAGAUGCCUUGGUGCCUUCGGGAACUCUCAGACAGGUGC